rnacentral:rRNA from 1 species
CAAUAGCGUAUAUUAAAGUUGUUGCGGUUAAAAGCUCGUAGUUGGAUUUCUGUGGAGGACGACCGGUCCGCACUUUGUGCGUGCAUCUGGUACGGCCUUUGCAUCCUCUUGUGGAACGCUACUGCGCUUGAUUGCGUGGUGCGGUAUACAAGACUUUUACUUUGAGGAAAUUAGAGUGUUCACGGCAGGCAUGCGCCUUGAAUAUAUUAGCAUGGAAUAAUAUUAUAGGACGAAACGCCUAUUUUGUUGGUUUCUAGGUGUAUCGUAAUGAUUAAGAGGGACAAUUGGGGGUGCUCGUACUACAACGUCAGAGGUGGAAUUCUUAGAUUGUUGUAUGACGUACUACUGCGAAAGCAUUCACCAAGGAUGUUUUCAUUGAUCAAGAACGAAAGUUUGGGGAUCGAAGAUGAUUAGAUACCAU